rnacentral:rRNA from 1 species
UACGUAGGGGGCGAGCGUUGUCCGGAGUUACUGGGCGUAAAGCGCACGCAGGCGGUCUGUGAAGUUUGGAGUGACAGUUGGUGGCUCAACCACCAAAGUGCUUUGAAAACUGACAGACUUGAGGGCUUCAGAGGGACACGGAAUUCCGGGUGGAGUGGUGAAAUGCGUAGAGAUCCGGAGGAACACCAAAGGCGAAGGCAGUAUCCUGGGGAGUACCUGAAGCUCAGGUGCGAAAGCCAGGGGAGCGAACGGG